rnacentral:rRNA from 1 species
ACCAGACUCCUACGGGAGGCAGCAGUGGGGAAUCUUGCGCAAUGGGCGGAAGCCUGACGCAGCGACGCCGCGUGCGGGACGAAGGCCUUCGGGUCGUAAACCGCUUUCAGCAGGGACGAGGCCCUCACGGUGACGGUACCUGCAGAAGAAGCCCCGGCUAACUACGUGCCAGCAGCCGCGGUAAUACGGGGGGUGCAAGCGUUGUCCGGAAUCAUUGGGCGUAAAGAGUUCGUAGGCGGCACGUAAAGUCUGGUGUUAAAGGCAGAGGCUCAACUUCUGUACGGCACUGGAUACUUGCGAGCUAGAGUGCGGUAGAGGUAAAGGGAAUUCCUGGUGUAGCGGUGAAAUGCUUAGAUAUCAGGAGGAACAUCGGUGGCGUAAGCGCUUUACUGGGCCGUAAUUGACGCUGAGGAACGAAAGCCAGGGUAGCAAAUGGGAUUAGAUACCCUAGUAAU